rnacentral:misc_RNA from 1 species
GAAAUGCGAUAAGUAAUGUGAAUUGGAGAAUUCCGUGAAUCAUCGAAUCUUUGAACGCACAUUGCGCCCCCUGGCAUUCCGGGGGGCACACCUGUUCGAGCGCCGUUUAACAACUAAGGCUUUGCCUUGCGUUGACCAUUCCCGCCGGGGAGCGGUCGAAAAACGUGAAGACUCCAAUAGACGGAAGCAGUACGCAAAAGUAUUGGUGACCGGCCUUUUUGGGUCUUGAUAUUCUCAACGUAUGGCCUCGGAUCAGGUGGGGAUACCCGCUGAACUUAA